rnacentral:rRNA from 1 species
UACGUAGGGUGCAAGCGUUAAUCGGAAUUACUGGGCGUAAAGCGUGCGCAGGCGGUGAUGUAAGACAGAUGUGAAAUCCCCGGGCUCAACCUGGGAACUGCAUUUGUGACUGCAUAGCUAGAGUACGGUAGAGGGGGAUGGAAUUCCGCGUGUAGCAGUGAAAUGCGUAGAUAUGCGGAGGAACACCGAUGGCGAAGGCAAUCCCCUGGACCUGCACUGACGCUCAUGCACGAAAGCGUGGGGAGCAAACAGG